AACACGAGGAGCUUUGCGAGUAUUCUGGAGUCCCAUAAAGCUGUUCUUGGGGCCGUCUUAUAAGGGAGGCCCCAGCAUGUCUGCCUGUUCCCACACUCCACAGACUGAUGACCAGGUCUGGAAUCCUGACUGCACAAGGGCUGGCUGAUGAAAACUUGGCAAGGAAUGCUGAUUCACAAACAGAACUGAGGCCCAUCUCUGAGUUCAGUGUUUGCUUUGGUUAACUUUGGCUGCUACUAUUUGUAACAUUAACCAUUUAUAAAGCUCACUGUGGCUUGGAUGGGGCUUUAAAGACCUUUUUGUGCGCUGCCACUACCACUUCCUUACUUCAGCUCUUAUCACCUCUAGCAGGAUAUAACAGACACUAUUGGUUACUACCCAAAAGCUAUCUCAACUCCAUUAUCAGCACCCUCCCUUUCCCCUGGCAGAACACUGACUUGUUGAUUUAUCCUGUGUGAGGAUAUAUUCAGGGAAAGGAACCCCACCCAGGCCCCAGAGGGCAAAUUUUGAUUUGUCUAAGCCAACCAUUGUAGUCUAAUUCCCUUGCUGUGAUUGGGUUAAGCAGAGCGUAAGACAUACUUCUGCCCAACAAAAUGUGAGGAAAGUCUGCUGAGGAGCUUCUAGAAAAAGUUUUGCUUGUUCUUAAAAAUGGAACAUUAGAGAUAUGAAAAAAAGAAUAGUUCCUUUUUUUAUCUCUGGAUGUGACUAUAUGAAGAGGUGAUUCAUGGAGCUGUGGCAACCAUCUUGUGACCAUGAGGGGAUAAGCUGGAAGACAAAAAC